rnacentral:sRNA from 1 species
GCCAGGUGUGGUGGCUCACACCUGUAAUCCCAGCUCUUUGGGAGGCUGAGGUGGGUGGAUCAUUUGAGGUCAGGAGUUCGAGACCAGUUUGGCCAAUAUGAUGAGAUCACAUCUCUACUAAAAAUACAAAAAUUAGCCGGGUAUGUUGGCGCACGCCUGUAAUCCCAGCUACUCAGGAGGCUGAGGCAGGAGAAUUGCUUGAACCCAGGAGGCGGAGAUUACAGUGAGCCGAGAUCAUCUCACUGCUCUCCAGCCUGGGCGACAGAGUGAGACUCUGUCUCA